CAGUAGCCGCGGGAACACGUAGGUGGCAAGCGUUGUCCGGAUUUAUUGGGCGUAAAGCGAGCGCAGGCGGUCAAUUAAGUCUGAUGUGAAAGCCCCCGGCUCAACCGGGGAGGGUCAUUGGAAACUGGUUGACUUGAGUGCAGAAGAGGAGAGUGGAAUUCCAUGUGUAGCGGUGAAAUGCGUAGAUAUAUGGAGGAACACCAGUGGCGAAGGCGACUCUCUGGUCUGUAACUGACGCUGAGGCUCGAAAGCGUGGGUAGCAAACAGGAUUAGAUACCCCUGUAGUCCCUGUCUCUUAUCA
rnacentral:rRNA from 1 species